CCUUUGUAUACACCGCCCGUCGCUACUACCGAUUGAAUGGCUCAGUGAGGCUUCCGGACUGACCCAGAGAGGUCGGCAACGACCACUCAGGGCCGGAAAGUUACCCAAACUCGGUCAUUUAGAGG
rnacentral:rRNA from 1 species